rnacentral:rRNA from 1 species
GAUGAACGCUGUCGGCGUGCCUAAUACAUGCAAGUCGAGCGAACAGACGAGGAGCUUGCUCCUCUGACGUUAGCGGCGGACGGGUGAGUAACACGUGGAUAACCUACCUAUAAGACUGGGAUAACUUCGGGAAACCGGAGCUAAUACCGGAUAAUAUAUUGAACCGCAUGGUUCAAUAGUGAAAGACGGUUUUGCUGUCACUUAUAGAUGGAUCCGCGCCGCAUUAGCUAGUUGGUAAGGUAACGGCUUACCAAGGCAACGAUGCGUAGCCGACCUGAGAGGGUGAUCGGCCACACUGGAACUGAGACACGGUCCAGACUCCUACGGGAGGCAGCAGUAGGGAAUCUUCCGCAAUGGGCGAAAGCCUGACGGAGCAACGCCGCGUGAGUGAUGAAGGUCUUCGGAUCGUAAAACUCUGUUAUUAGGGAAGAACAAAUGUGUAAGUAACUAUGCACGUCUUGACGGUACCUAAUCAGAAAGCCACGGCUAACUACGUG